ACCCCUUGAGCUUUCACUAGCUUCUGAGCACUCACUAGCUCUUGAGCUUUCUCCAUCUUGUGAGUUUGGCCCAUUCAAAAUGGUACAUUCUAGGAUGAAGUCUGUCAGCACUAAGCUUAAUGGAAGGCCUCAGACAAUACUAUACGUCCAACUCAAUAAGUUCAAGAGCCCACUUUGUAAUUCAUUCUGAAGUGUUUCGUCGGUGGAGAACGGCC
rnacentral:lncRNA from 1 species